UACGAAGGGGGCUAGCGUUGUUCGGAAUUACUGGGCGUAAAGGGCGCGUAGGCUGUGCUGUAAGUCAGGCGUGAAAGGCCCGGGCUCAACCUGGGAACUGCGCUUGAUACUGCGGCGCUUGAAGACGGGAGAGGAUGGCGGAAUUCCCAGUGUAGAGGUGAAAUUCGUAGAUAUUGGGAAGAACGACCGGUGGCGAAGGCGGCCAUCUGGCCCGUUA
rnacentral:rRNA from 1 species